rnacentral:misc_RNA from 1 species
GAUGUUGUGAUUAUUACUUGGUUUUGAGAGCCAGGAGGGGCCACAUAAUGAUGAUGAGAUAUGGAUUGAGUUUAGAAGUGUUAUUUGAAUCAUUUUGUAGGUUGAGUAGGUGAUAGUGAAAACUCUGUCGGAUUUUCGGCAUUUACGGCAUGAAUUAGACUGUCUGUUGUCUCUUUAGAGUCUUAUUUCGAAUUAGUACUAAUAAAUUUAUAAUAUAAUUAAUUGGAUGAUCGAGGUCAGCUAUUUUUCCUCCAUACAGUAGCCACAAUAGUCUCUGGUGUACAGUGAGUAUAUAUUUAUUUUAUUUA